UCCCCUCCCACGACUCAGGCCCGCUGCCAAUCUAGGGAAGGAACAACAAGUCCUAGAGGAACAUGAAGGUACAUAGGACUCUAAGGUAUUCCGACAGACUCGCCCUAGAAGUCAGUACGGAGAGUCCAAGAAAAAACCACACGCCCUUGCUCAAACUUUCCUACUUCAAAAGGCGAUGGAGACUUACGAAAGAAAAUUCCAGUGGUACAUGGCUCUACUAAGGACCCCCUUGUCCUAUAGCUCUUUGAAGAAGUAAACAAGUUGAAGGCCGAACGUCAGGCCGAGAUACCUGACUGGAACCAACCCAGGCCUGGCCAUCUCAUAAGAAGGAUCCUCGACACCCCUAUUCAAGCGAAGACAAAACAAAAGCUUGGUUUACAACUAUAUACUGGAAGGGAUGACCCAAUUGAACACCUUAACCUCUUUGAGUCCACCAUGGCAUAUCGGAUGCACACCUUGACCAAUCCUAAAACUACUGAGCACCGGUCAUCGUUAUACCGUCAAAGACCCAGAAGAGUUUCCCUCCAACCAGAAGGCCAAUCACAGCGCGACACGUGUCAACAUCAGAAGCCAAUCACAACACGACACGUGUUAAUGUCAAAAUGAAACUAGAAACUCUCUUUUAUAAAUAGAGAUCAUUCGCUCACAAUAUUUCCUAAUGUCAUUUGUACUAAAUCAUUCACUAGUACUCACUAAAGGAGAGGUUGAACCUAUGUACUUGUGUAAACCCUUAACAAUUAAUGAGAACUCUUCUACUCCGUGGACGU
rnacentral:lncRNA from 1 species